rnacentral:rRNA from 1 species
GUGAGGAAUAUUGGUCAAUGGGCGAGAGCCUGAACCAGCCAUGCCGCGUGCAGGAAGACGCAUCUAUGGUGUGUAAACUGCUUUUGUACGGGAAGAAACACUCCCUCGUGAGGGAGCUUGACGGUACCGUAAGAAUAAGGAUCGGCUAACUCCGUGCCAGCAGCCGCGGUAAUACGGAGGAUCCAAGCGUUAUCCGGAAUCAUUGGGUUUAAAGGGUUCGUAGGCGGUUUAAUAAGUCAGUGGUGAAAGCCCAUCGCUCAACGAUGGAACGGCCAUUGAUACUGUUAGACUUGAAUUACAAGGAAGUAACUAGAAUAUGUAGUGUAGCGGUGAAAUGCUUAGAUAUUACAUGGAAUACCAAUUGCGAAGGCAGGUUACUACUUGUGGAUUGACGCUGAUGGACGAAAGCGUGGGGAGCGAACAGGAUUAGAUACCCUAGUAGUCC